rnacentral:rRNA from 1 species
CCUACGGGGGGCAGCAGUGAGGAAUAUUGGUCAAUGGGCGCGAGCCUGAACCAGCCAAGUAGCGUGAAGGAUGACUGCCCUACGGGUUGUAAACUUCUUUUAUAAAGGAAUAAAGUGAUGCACGUGUGCCUUUUUGUAUGUACUUUAUGAAUAAGGAUCGGCUAACUCCGUGCCAUCAGCCGCGGUAAUACGGAGAAUCCGAGCGUUAUCCGGAUUUAUUGGGUUUAAGGGGAGCGUAGAUGGGUUGUUAAGUCAGUUGUGAAAGUUUGCGGCUCAACCGUAAAAUUGCAAUUGAUACUGGCAGUCUUGAGUACAGUUGAGGUAGGCGGAAUUCGUGGUGUAGCGGUGAAAUGCUUAGAUAUCACGAAGAACUCCGAUUGCGAAGGCAGCUUACUAAACUGCAACUGACAUUGAUGCUCGAAAGUGUGGGUAUCAAACAGGAUUAGAUACCCCAGUAGUC